AUUGAACGCUGGCGGCAGGCCUAACACAUGCAAGUCGAACGGUAACAGGAAGAAGCUUGCUUCUUUGCUGACGAGUGGCGGACGGGUGAGUAAUGUCUGGGAAACUGCCUGAUGGAGGGGGAUAACUACUGGAAACGGUAGCUAAUACCGCAUAACGUCGCAAGACCAAAGAGGGGGACCUUCGGGCCUCUUGCCAUCGGAUGUGCCCAGAUGGGAUUAGCUAGUAGGUGGGAUAACGGCUCACCUAGGCGACGAUCCCUAGCUGGUCUGAGAGGAUGACCAGCCACACUGGAACUGAGACACGGUCCAGACUCCUACGGGAGGCAGCAGUGGGGAAUAUUGCACAAUGGGCGCAAGCCUGAUGCAGCCAUGCCGCGUGUAUGAAGAAGGCCUUCGGGUUGUAAAGUACUUUCAGCGGGGAGGAAGGGAGUAAAGUUAAUACCUUUACUCAUUGACGUUACCCGCAGAAGAAGCACCGGCUAACUCCGUG
rnacentral:rRNA from 1 species